UAAACAUGGACAACACAUGGCCCUGGUUGAUUUUCACAGUUUUAAUUUUUGUUGUCUCUUUAAUCUACAUCGCCUUAAAAAGACCGGCUUCUUCUUUUCCAUCUUCAAGGAAAGCUUCGGUAUUGGUUGUUGUUGGUUCGGGAGGUCACACUAGGGAGAUUCUAACAUUAAUGAGUGGUUUGGGCGAACACUAUACUCCAAGAUAUUACGUCAUGGCUACCACCGACACCAUGAGUGAGGGCAAAAUACAGGACUUUGAAAGCAAGAAGGGCAAAGACAAUUCCGAAAAUUUUAAAAUCUACAAGAUUCCACGUAGUCGUGAAGUGAAGCAGUCAUGGAUAACAACUGUUCUGUCGACAUUACAGGCCAUGCUGGUCUGCUUUCCACUAGUGUUCAGACUCCGGCCAAACAUCAUCCUCUGUAAUGGUCCUGGAACCUGCAUACCUCUCUGUACAGCUGGAUUCCUUCUGAAGAUACUUACUCUUGGAAAGACACAGAUAAUAUACGUAGAAAGUGUGUGUCGUGUGGAGACCCUGUCUAUGUCGGCCAGACUGCUGUACUAUGUCGCUGACGAUAUAUUCGUACAGUGGGACCGUCUACAGAAACGCUACCCCAGGUCUAAAUACAUUGGUCGCCUGGUGUAGUGUUCGUACAGUGAGAGAUUCUACAGAAACACUACCCCAGUUGUAAAUACACUGGUGCCUGGUGCAGUGUUCGUACAGUGAGAGAGUCUACAGAAAUGCGACCCCAGGUGUAAAUACAUUGGUUGCCUGGUGUAGUGUUCGUACAGUGAGAGAUUCUACAGAAACGGUACCCCAGGUGUAUAUACAUUGGUCGCCUUGUGUAGUGUUCGUAAAGUGAGAGACUCUACAGAAACGCUACCCCAGGUGUAAAUACAUUGGUCGCCUCUUGUAGUGUUCGUACAGUGUGACCGUCUACAGAAAUGCUACCCCAGGUGUAAAUACAUUGAUCCCCUUGUGUAGUGUUCGUAAAGUGAGAGAGUCUACAGAAACGCUACCCCAGGUGUAAAUACAUUGGUCCCCUCGUGUAGUGUUCAUACAGUGGGACCGUCUACAGAAACGCUACCCCAGGUGUAAAUACAUUGGUCCCCUCUUGUGGUGUUCGUACAGUGAGAGAUUCUACAGAAACGCUAUCCCAGGUGUAAAUACAUUGGUCACCUCAUGUAGUGUUCGUACAGUGAGAGAUUCUACAGAAACGCUACCCCAGGUGUAAAUACAUUGGUCCCCUCGUGUAGUGUUCGUACAGUGGAAGAGUCUACAGAAAUGCUACCCCAGGUCUAAAUACAUAGGUCACCUCGUGUAGUGUUCGUACAGUGGGACUGUCUACAGAAACGCUACCCCAGGUCUAAAUACAUUGGUCGCCUGGUGUAGUGUUCGUACAGUGAGAGAUUCUACAGAAACACUACCCCAGGUGUAAUUAGAUCCAAUUACUAAUUAUUCAUCACAAUAUUCAUCACAAUACCAGACAUAUCAACAGUGAUUCAUUCCAUGUGCCUUACCAUGUAAAGAAAAUAAACAAAACCUAGCAUCAUAGACACUUCAUUAUAACAUACUGAAGAUGAUAUUUUUUGGGCACAGCAGAUUCUGUGGUGUGAUUGAUCUCAACCUUUUUGGAGAAUAAAUGAGAGCUGUUCUUUUU
rnacentral:misc_RNA from 1 species